UUUAAAUAACAGAUGUGCUUAAAUGGUUAUUCACCUGCAGUCUGGAAGAUAAAGGGAAAGCAGAGCUCUGUGUGCUAUGACCUGUGUUAUGAAUGUGAGUGCCUCUCCUGUGCCAGUUCUCCCUGUGUCCCCAUCACCCUCCAAGUGCCUUAGUGCACCCAGGAUGGGGAGGUGGGAAUAUUUGCUUUGGCCCAAAUAUGACCCUUGGUUUAGCACUGGACACAUGCAGGCAAACAUCUAGUGGUGUGCCAGAGGUGGCUCUUUGGGGGUCACUGCCCUCCUAGAUCCCAGCCUCCUGUUCCAGGGACCACCAGGCCACCCCACCUGACCUUGCAUCAAACACACCCAUCCGCUGAUGUCCUGCCCUGCCUAGACAAGUGCUUCAGAGCAUUUGUGGGCUUAAAGCCAAGUAUAAACCAAUGUGAUUUGUUGUCCUGGGGGCAGGCAAAAACAGAAACCUGCAGAACACUGAGGGCUUCUCUUACCUUCAUAGAGGUCCUUCAGGCUGACACCCUGGUGCAGUGUUGCCAGUGACAAAACUCCUGAGACCUCGGAGGGGCUGGAUUUCCCUGGAAGUGCUCAACUUCAGCUUAGCAGGGAGAGGGUUAGGACAGCAGAUGGCGAGGGACAGCACACUGACACUGUUGCUUUGCUGAGUGAGAGCCCCAAAAAGCUGCAUGGGGACCACAGCUUCUCUUCAGAGAGCUGGGAGGAGUGGCCUCGGCAGAGUGAGCAAAGAUGAACUCUUGUACCGCUCCCCAAGGCUGUAUGAAGUCACCACAGAGGAGAAUGCAGUAGAAAGGCAAUCUUCCCUGUUCUGGAAAGUCUCCAACAGUUUUAAUAUAAUGGAAGAAUUCUUGAUAGAUUUAUGUGUCAGUCCUUGAUCAAAGCAUCAGAAUCUACUUAAGAACCUAUUUCUGGUGAAGCUUCCAAGUGAUCAUUCUAAGUCAUCACCGAGCAACAGAAGUCUCAGGUUUGAUCCUUGCCUGACUUUUUAAUUUUUUUUAUUUGGUGUUUGUUUGGGUGUUUUGGUGGUUUGUUGGGUUUUUUUUAUUUUAUUUUUAGUGGUUUUUCAAGAUCUUUAUUUUUAUGUGCACAACAUCUGUGAUGAAAAAUUUGUGCAUGUUUUUAGCGAAGUUCUGCAUGUGGGGAAGAAAAAUAAUUUCCAUGUGCAAGAAACAAUACAAAAAGCUUUAAACUUUAAGUAAAUUCUUUGUUUCAUAGAAUGGUUUGGGUUGGAAGGGACCUUAAGUUCAUCUAGUUCCAACCC
rnacentral:lncRNA from 1 species